UAUAAGGGACAGGUGAGUCAUCGAAUCUUUGAACGCACAUUGCGCCCCUUGGUAUUCCAUGGGGCAUGCCUGUUCGAGCGUCAUCUACACCCUCAAGCUCUGCUUGGUGUUGGGCGUCUGUCCCGCCUUUGCGCGUGGACUCGCCCCAAAUUCAUUGGCAGCGGUCCUUGCCUCCUCUCGCGCAGCACAUUUGCGCUUCUCGAGGUGCGCGGGCCGCGUCCACGAAGCAACUAUUACCGUCUUUGACCUCGGAUCAGGUAGGGAUACCCGCUGAACUUAAGCAUAUCAAUAAGCGGAGGA
rnacentral:misc_RNA from 1 species